rnacentral:lncRNA from 1 species
CGUGACUCUCACAUGUGGAUCUGACUACAGGUGCGAUCGUGACUCAUUUUUGGACCCAGCUCACAGGUAUAAAAAUGGGUACAUUCUUGAACUCAGCAUAAAUGAGAGAUGUUGACUAUUAUACCUGGGAUUAAGGCAAUAUAUAAGGUUGUGAGUCCAUAUGAGCAUGUGGACCUCAGAGUAGUUUGCAACUCUCAUGCAUGCUGUAUAAAGCCCUCAGAUGUUGUAGAGGGUGUCAUACGAUGGCCAAGCACACAUAUCACAUUGUGACUUAUAUGCACACCAAGCUAACAAUUAAAAGUGUCACCCUCAAUGAUGAGAAGAUUGUGUCAUAUCACUGGGCCUAGUACCCUAGUACCUAGGUUGUGUGACUCUCCUCUUUUUCUUCAACCCUGUCUACAGAAGACAUGGCACCAUGUUUCUUGAGGCUAUACCAAGGUGAUGUGACUCUUCUGACCUGGCCCUGCCUGCGAAGGAGAUUAUAAUACAUCCCGAAUUCAGAAUCCAGGUGAUAUUGUGCCAUAUACCUGAGACCAGAUAAGAGGACUAAUCAUGACUCUUAAACCUGGAGCCAAGUCAUAUGCAAGAUGGUGACUCCAAUUCCUGGAACCUUCCACCAGUGUUUUUGUGACCUAUACCUUCACCCAGCUCCUGAGUGAUUUAAUAAUCCGGCCCAGGUGUAGCCCACAAAUGAGAUUUGGACAUUUGCCUCAGCUGAGCGCCUUGGUGAUUUGACUCUCCUGUCUUAACAAUAUCCUCAGGAAGGAUUGUAACAUGUAUCUGGACCCAUCAUCUAGUUGCCUGACUCUCCUCUCCUGCCUGGACCCUGCUUCCACUGGGGAUUGUAACAUUUCUAAGCACUUUAUCCAAAAGAUAUGACUCUCUUGCCUGGUCAUUUCAGGCUAACAGAAGACAUCGUGACAUAUCUCUGUGCAUAUCAUUUAGGUGAUAUGAGUCUCCUCUUCUGCCUGGACACUGCCCACAAGGGGCACGGUGCCAUACAUCUAGGUGUAACCCCAAGUUAUGCAACUUUUCUGCCAGGAAAAUAUCUAAAAGGAUAAUAUUGGAAAAUUUCUGGCUCAGCAUUUAGGUGACUUGGCUGUCAUGCCUGUUUCAUUACUACAGAGUAAAUUGUGACAUAUGCCUAGGAACAGUUCACAGGCAUGAUAAUGACUCUCAUAUGUGGACUCCACAAACAGGAGUAAUUUUUACUCUCAUAACUUGCUUUAGAAACACUAGUGAUUAAAUCUCUUUCUGGUAAAAAAAAAAAGGCAAAGAAGAUUUUGAUAGCCUCAGAUAUUUUAUAAAGCCCUUGGUUUGUACAGAGAGUGUCAUAACAGAACCCAGCAGAAAGGUAAAAUUUUGAGUCUAAAAUGCACACCUAGCUGACAGUAAGGACUGUGAUUGUCUCACAUAUAUGAAGCCAACUGUCACUCAUGAAAACAGGACAUGCAUGGUAUUGUACAUCUCAUCCUGGGAAUUUUCUGCCAGUGUGAUUGUGAUAUAUAUCUUUGCCAAGCACCUGCGUGAUUUGACUCUCCAGACUGGUUAGAUCCGGCAUAUGUUAUUGUGAUAUCUACCUGGACCAACCUCGAGGUGAUGUGACUCUCCUGCCUGGGCCCUGCUGUCAGUAACAAUCAUAACAUAUCACUAGAUCCAGCACCCAGAUCAUGUUACAUUUUUGCCUGAGCCAUGCCCACAGAUAUCACUGUGACAUAUCACUGUGUCCACCACUUAGGUGACAUAACUCUCCUCAUUAGAAUGGGCCCUGAACACUGUGGGGGAUAAUGACAUAUUGCUGGGCCAGGCACACAGGUGAUGCUACUCUUUUGCUAGGGACAUGUCCUAAAGAGGGUACUAUGACAUAUCACUGAGCUUAUCACCAAGGUGAUGUUGCUGUCCGGCUUGGGUCCUGCUUACCUGGAUAGUGACAUAUUGCUAGUCUAGGCACACAGAUGAUGGUAGUCUUUCAGUAGGGCCAUGCCUCAAGGAGCACAUUGUGACAUAUCUCUGGGUCUAUCACCUAGGUGAUGUGACUCCCUGCUUGGGCCCUGCCCACAUGGAGCAUUGUGACAUAAGAGUAGAACCUGCAUCUAUUUGUUGUAACUCUCUUGCCUGGUUCCUGUCCUAAGGGAGCCUUGUGACAUACUUCAAAACCCAGCAUCAAGGUGAUGUGGCUCUUCUGCCUGCUUUCACCCCACAUAUUAGGUUGUGUCAUGUAGCUAGGGAAUCACCUAGGUGAUGCGAGUCUUCUCUUCUGCCUGACUCCUGCCUAUUUGGGACAUUGGGCCAGAUAUCUGAGGUUGUGUCCUAAGUGAUGUGACACUUUUCUUCUGCCAGAACCUUUACAACAGGGUGACAUGGCAUAUUGCUAAGCCCAAUACUUAGGUAAUAUGACUCUACUUUUUUUCCUGAACCAUGCCCAUGAAAAGUAAUUUUGAUGUAUUGCAGGGCCCAGCACCCAGAUGAUGUUCCUCUUCUGCCUGGGUCCUGCAUAAAGAUAAUUAUGGCAUAUUGCUAGGCUUCCCACCCUGAUGGUGUAACUCUCCUGCCUGUACCAGAGGAACAGAAAGUAUUUUUACAUAUUUUGGACCUAUUCUGUAGGUGUUUUGGCUCUCAUCAUUUUUCUGGUUUUUUUUUUUUUCCACAUUUGGGAUUGUGUCAUAUUGCUGGGUCCAGCACCCAGGUAAUGCAGCCCUGAUUUCUAGAUCCUUCCUAGAGAGGGCAUUGUGACAUAUUGCUUGGCACAGCACCUAAGUUGUGCUAUCCUCCUGCCAAGUUUCUUUCCUACAAACGGUAUUAUGAAAUGUACAUUGCUUCAGUUCAUGGGAAUGAUCAUUAAACUUAAAUUUGGGUACUACCAAUAGUAGAUAAUUUGCCUCUCAUCAUUAUGCUUAGGGCAAUAAAUAAGGUUAUCAGUUACAUAUUUGUACAAAGCUCACAGAAGGUUACAACACUAACUCAUAUUCUAUAUACUCUUUGGAUGGUACAGAGUUUCACAACAGGGCCCAGCAAGAGGUUAAGAUCGAGACUCUUGAUUACACAUGCAGGCGACAGCAAAAGUUGUCACCAUCCCACAUUUACAAAGCCCACUGUAGAAGUCCUGAGUCUAACAAGCAAAUAAAGUACAAAGAUGGAAUUGUGAAUUUCAUAUAUGGAUCUUGCUACAGGUGAGAUAGUGACUCAUUUCUGGACCCAGAUCUCAGGCAUAAUAAUGGAUCUCUUGUCUGAAUCCAGCCUAUAAGAGAGAGAUUGUCUAUCAUAACUGGGUUUAGGGCAAUAUGUAAGAUUGUGUGUCAAUACAAGCAUGUAGGCCUCAGAGAUUUUUGCAAGUCUCAUUCAUGUUGCAUAAAGCCUUUGAAUGUUGUAGAGUGUGCCAUACGAUGACCCAAAACACAAGUGAGAUGGUGACUCUUAUAUGCACACAAGGCUAACAGUUAAAGGUGUCACUCCAAAAGAUGAGGAGAUUGUGUCAUAUCACUAGGCCUACUACCCCGGUGUUGAGACUUUUUGGUUUAAAGUAUUUCCCAUGGGAGCAUUGCGAAAUAUUGCUGGGUUAGAAUAAUAAUAAUGUGACUCUUCUGCUUGGAUCCAGCCAACAGGAGACAUUAUCACAUGUCUCUGGGCCUAUCAACUAGGUGAUGUGUCUCUCCUGCCAGUGCCCUGCCCACAGGGGACACUGUGACAUAUUGCUAGAUAUAGCAUCUGGGUAAUGUGACUCUCCCCUCUAGCAUGGAUUCUGCCCACUGAAGAAAUUGUGAUAUAACACUGAG